CGUAGGGUGCGAGCGUUAAUCGGAAUUACUGGGCGUAAAGCGUGCGCAGGCGGUUGUGUAAGACAGGCGUGAAAUCCCCGGGCUCAACCUGGGAACUGCGCUUGUGACUGCACGGCUAGAGUACGGCAGAGGGGGGUGGAAUUCCACGUGUAGCAGUGAAAUGCGUAGAGAUGUGGAGGAACACCAAUGGCGAAGGCAGCCCCCUGGGUCGAUACUGACGCUCAUGCACGAAAGCGUGGGUAGCAAACAGGAUUAGAUACCCUGGUAGUCCACGCCCUAAACGAUGUCAACUAGGUGUUGGAUGGGUAAAACCAUUUAGUACCGGAGCUAACGCGUGAAGUUGACCGCCUGGGGAGUACGGCCGCAAGGUUG
rnacentral:rRNA from 1 species